ACGGGAGGCAGCAGUGGGGAAUAUUGCACAAUGGAGGAAACUCUGAUGCAGCGACGCCGCGUGAGUGAUGAAGUAUUUCGGUAUGUAAAGCUCUAUCAGUAGGGAAGAUAAUGACGGUACCUAACUAAGAAGCACCGGCUAAAUACGUGCCAGCAGCCGCGGUACUACGUAUGGUGCAAGCGUUAUCCGGAUUUACUGGGUGUAAAGGGAGCGUAGGUGGUUUGGCAAGCCAGAAGUGAAAACCCGGGGCUCAACCCCGUGGAUUGCUUUUGGAACUGUUGAACUAGAGUGCAGGAGGGGUAAGUGGAAUUCCCAGUGUAGCGGUGAAAUGCGUAGAUAUUGGGAAGAACACCGGUGGCGAAGGCGGCUUACUGGACUGUAACUGACACUGAGGCUCGAAAGCGUGGGGAGCAAACAGGAUUAGAUACCCUGGUA
rnacentral:rRNA from 1 species